UGCUGUUGAAGUCUGUUUUUAAGCAGUUGACCAUUAGUAAGUCUGACCAUACGGCCACGGGUCAACGCUUGGAACUCAAUAAUUGCACGCAUGCAUCUCAAAGUAACAACAGCCUGUCUACUAACCAAGUGGCCACGAACUAAAGCUUGAAGCCUUAUGAUACCCUUGAGAUUGGCUACAGUUGUAUCCGAUUGCCAGCACACACAAUCAAGCAUCCGUGAUUAACUCAAAUCUAGACGUGGCAAAUUAACGCAGGUCAAAGCAAGGUUGGUAACGGGUCAAAACACGCAAUUUUUGCACGAGCUAACACAGGUCAGUUUGGAUUU
rnacentral:lncRNA from 1 species